AACGAACGCUGGCGGCAUGCCUAACACAUGCAAGUCGAACGAGACCUUCGGGUCUAGUGGCGCACGGGUGCGUAACGCGUGGGAACCUGCCCUUAGGUUCGGAGUAACUCCCCGAAAGGGGUGCUAAUACCGGAUAAUGUCUUCGGACCAAAGAUUUAUCGCCUUUGGAUGGGCCCGCGUUGGAUUAGCUAGUUGGUAGGGUAAAAGCCUACCAAGGCGACGAUCCAUAGCUGGUCUGAGAGGAUGAUCAGCCACACUGGGACUGAGACACGGCCCAGACUCCUACGGGAGGCAGCAGUGGGGAAUAUUGGACAAUGGGCGAAAGCCUGAUCCAGCAAUGCCGCGUGAGUGAUGAAGGCCUUAGGGUUGUAAAGCUCUUUUACCCGGGAUGAUAAUGACAGUACCGGGAGAAUAAGCUCCGGCUAACUCCGU
rnacentral:rRNA from 1 species